rnacentral:other from 1 species
GUGGAGCUGCUGGGUGCGUCAGGUCAACAUCCCCAGGGCCAACUAGUACUCCCAGGGAGCUGGCUCUGAUGUGAUCUUGGUCACACUACCCGGUGCCCACCUGCUUACGCGGGCCUUGGGAGGAUGUAUAGCCAACGGCCAUGGCGGCUCCACA